CAACAGACCAACAGCUCACCCCCUCCACCAGUAAGCUCAGGUCAAGCCCCCCUUUGAAUUUUAAUCGCGCUAAGGCCCUCCCUAUGGUUAGCUUCCAGUGUGCAUACUUCCCGGUGAACCCUAAACCCCUUGGGGGCAGGAACUGUGUCCUUAUUUUUCAUCCCUACGACCCUGAGCACAGUAACUAACACAGAAAACCAGAUCUGAUUUCAUGAAUGGCCUGUGCUGCAGAACACAGGAAGGAGCCCUCCUAGACUACAUCCAGCAAUGCCAGGAGGGCAGCUUGCAGCCCGUUUCAGUGAGGGUUUGGACUGAAGACAGGGAAUCUCCUGGAAGGCUUGCUGUGAAUGUUAGGAGCUGUCCUUCCUGGCACAGGAGGGUAAAAGAGUUCUUGCCACACAGAAGCCAGGAAUUUCUAACUCAGAGCACAUUUUAAGACAAACAUAGCAAGAGAGAGAGAGACAGAGAGACAAACUCAACAACUGCUGCCCCUCAAAGCAGCUCUGAGCAGCAGGAAUCAUCAGAGGCUUCUUGAAGAUGCCCUCCACCACCACAAGAGUUCUAGCCAAGCCCUGGAGCAGGGGCGUCUCCCCUAGGACCACCACCCAACCUCUCCCUCUUCCCCCUCAAGACUGGCAGACCCAACACCACGUGAGGCCUCCAGGGCAGCCAACACCUCCUAUGUGUUACAGCAAUGGGCUCACCAACAGCGCAAGAAGUCCUUCUCUUCUAAAUAGCUGGAUGCCAUAGGCUACCUGUCAUUUCCCUGAUUUCUGUGAUCACCCCAAGACCAAGAUGACCACACCCAUCAGGGAGACAGUACUCUGACUAGGAAGAUGGCC
rnacentral:lncRNA from 1 species